GUUCUAUUCUGAAUCUCUUAGAAGAACAAGUGAUUGAUCACACCAUCUAUGCACAAGUUAAGCCAAAAAAUAAAGUAAAAAGCCCUCUGGAGAUGUUGGAGAAAUCAAAGGGGCCUCAGACUGUGUAUGGGCUUACAGGAGAGCACAAGCAAACUCAGAACACCAGUCAGACAAUCACAACACAUGAGGCACCGAAAACAAUGGAAAAUCCCCCCUGCACCACCUACAGUACAAUAGGAGAACACCAGACACCAGCACUGCCUACUGAAUCAGAAAAUACUAUUUAUUCUGUUGUGAAUAAACCCCAACGUGGCAAACCACCUGUUCAUAAAUAGAUCAAGUUACAUGUAUGUAAAA